rnacentral:rRNA from 1 species
GAUGAACGCUGGCGGUGUGCCUAACACAUGCAAGUCGAGCGACCGGACGAGAAGCUCGUUCUCUUGAUGUUAGCGGCGGACGGGCGAGUAACAAGUGGAUAACCUUCUUCUUUGACUGGGAUAACUUCGGGAAACCGGAGACAAUAAUGGAUAAUACUAUGAACCGCAUGGAUCAAAAGUGCAAGACGGUUUUGCUGAUACUUUUAGAUGGAUCCGCGCUGCAUUAGCUAGUUGGUAAGGUAACGGCCUACCAAGGCGACGAUGCAUAGCCGACCUGAGAGGAUGAUCAGCCACACUGGAACUGAGACACGGUCCAGACUCCUACGGGAGGCAGCAGUGGGGAAUCUUCCACAAUGGGCGAAAGCCUGACGGAGCAACACCGCGUGGGUGAAGAAGGUCUUCGGGUCGUAAAGCUCUUUUAUUAGGAAAGAAAAUAAGUAUGUUAAACUGUGGACGUCUUGACGGUACCUAAACAAAAAGCCACGGCUAACUUCGUG